UACAGAGGGUGCAAGCGUUGUUCGGAAUUACUGGGCGUAAAGCGCAUGUAGGCGGUUUAUUAAGUCAGAUGUGAAAUCCCUCGGCUCAACCGAGGAACUGCAUCUGAUACUGGUAGGCUUGAGUGUCGGAGGGGAUGGUAGAAUUCCUGGUGUAGAGGUGAAAUUCGUAGAUAUCAGGAGGAAUACCUGUGGCGAAGGCGAUCAUCUGGAAGACAACUGACGCUGAGAUGCGAAAGCGUGGGGAGCAAACAGG
rnacentral:rRNA from 1 species